rnacentral:rRNA from 1 species
UACGUAGGGGGCGAGCGUUGUCCGGAUUUAUUGGGCGUAAAGAGCUCGUAGGCGGUUUGGUAAGUUGGAUGUGAAAUCUCCAGGCUCAACUUGGAGGGGUCAUUCGAUACUGCCAUGACUAGAGUUCGGUAGGGGAGUGUGGAAUUCCUGGUGGAGCGGUGAAAUGCGCAGAUAUCAGGAGGAACACCCGUAGCGAAGGCAGCACGCUGGGACGGAACUGACGCUGAGGAGCGAAAGCGUGGGGAGCGAACAGG